UACGUAGGGGGCAAGCGUUGUUCGGAAUUACUGGGCGUAAAGGGCGCGUAGGCGGCAUGGCAAGUCGGGUGUGAAAGGCCUGGGCUCAACCGAGGAACUGCUUUCGAGACUGCCAAGCUAGAGUGCGGAAGGGGCAUCUGGAAUUCCCAGUGUAGCGGUGAAAUGCGUAGAUAUUGGGAAGAACACCUGAGGCGAAGGCGGGAUGCUGGGCCGACACUGACGCUGAGGCGCGAAAGCCAGGGGAGCAAACGGG
rnacentral:rRNA from 1 species